rnacentral:rRNA from 1 species
ACGGGAGGCAGCAGUGAGGAAUAUUGGACAAUGGGCGGAAGCCUGAUCUAGCCAUGCCGCGUGCAGGACUAAGGCCCUAUGGGUCGUAAACUGCUUUUGUUGUGGAGCAAUAAGGUCUACGUGUAGACUGAUGAGAGUACACAGCGAAUAAGCAUCGGCUAACUCCGUGCCAGCAGCCGCGGUAAUACGGAGGAUGCAAGCGUUAUCCGGAUUUAUUGGGUUUAAAGGGUGCGUAGGCGGCUUGUCAAGUCAGAGGUGAAAGCCCGGAGCCCAACUCCGGAACUGCCUUUGAUACUGUCAGGCUUGAAUUCGGAUGCCGUGGGAGGAAUGAGUAGUGUAGCGGUGAAAUGCAUAGAUAUUACUCAGAACACCGAUUGCGAAGGCAUCUCACGAAUCCGACAUUGACGCUGAGGCACGAAAGCGUGGGGAUCAAACAGGAUUAGAUACCCUGGUA